GAUGAACGCUGGCGGCGUGCCUAACACAUGCAAGUCGAACGGCACUUCUUUAUCACCUAGUGCUUGCACUCACCGAUAAACAGUUGAGUGGCGAACGCGUCAGUAUCUCCUUGUCAAUCUGCCCUAACGUGGGGGAUCUCACUUGGAUACAGCUUCUAAUCUCCCAUAACCAUCAUUACCUCUUGGUAACUUUGUCAAAUGUGUCUAUCCUACUCCUUUUGGCUGGGCCCCCGGCGCAUUAGCUAGUUGGUCGGGUAAAGGCUUACCAAGGCAAUGAUUCGUAGCUGAAUUGAGAGGAUGAUCAGCCACAUUGGAACUGAGACACGGCCCAGACUCCUACGGGAGGCAGCAGUAGGGAAUAUUGGACAAUGGGCGAAAGCCUGAUGGAGCAACGCCGCGUGGGUGAAGAAGGCCUUCGGAUCGUAAAACCCUGUUGUUAGAGAAGAAAGGGAGUAAGAGUAAAUGUUCACGUUUUGACGGUACCUAAAGAGAAAGCAACGGCUAACUACGUG
rnacentral:rRNA from 1 species